UGAGACACGGCCGAACUCCUACGGGAGGCAGCAGUGGGGAAUAUUGGACAAUGGGGGCAACCCUGAUCCAGCCAUGCCGCGUGUGUGAAGAAGGCCCUCGGGUUGUAAAGCACUUUCAGCGAGGAAGAACGCCUAGUGGUUAAUACCCAUUAGGAAAGACAUCACUCGCAGAAGAAGCACCGGCUAACUCCGUGCCAGCAGCCGCGGUAAUACGGAGGGUGCAAGCGUUAAUCGGAAUUACUGGGCGUAAAGCGCGCGUAGGUGGCUUGAUAAGCCGGUUGUGAAAGCCCCGGGCUCAACCUGGGAACGGCAUCCGGAACUGUCAGGCUAGAGUGCAGGAGAGGAAGGUAGAAUUCCCGGUGUAGCGGUGAAAUGCGUAGAGAUCGGGAGGAAUACCAGUGGCGAAGGCGGCCUUCUGGACUGACACUGACACUGAGGUGCGAAAGCGUGGGUAGCAAACAGGAUUAGAUACCCUGGUAGUCCACGCCGUAAACGAUGUCGACCAGCCGUUGGGUGCCUAGCGCACUUUGUGGCGAAGUUAACGCGAUAAGUCGACCGCCUGGGGAGUACGGCCGCAAGGUUAAAACUCAAAUGAAUUGACGGGGGCCCGCACAAGCGGUGGAGCAUGUGGUUUAAUUCGAUGCAACGCGAAGAACCUUACCUACCCUUGACAUCGACAGAAGCCGAGAGAGAUCUUGGUGUGCCUUCGGGAACUGUCAGACAGGUGCUGCAUGGCUGUCGUCAGCUCGUGUUGUGAAAUGUUGGGUUAAGUCCCGUAACGAGCGCAACCCUUGUCCUUAUUUGCCAGCACGUAAUGGUGGGAACUCUAAGGAGACUGCCGGUGACAAACCGGAGGAAGGUGGGGACGACGUCAAGUCAUCAUGGCCCUUACGGGUAGGGCUACACACGUGCUACAAUGGCCGGUACAAAGGGCAGCGAGCUCGCGAGAGUCAGCGAAUCCCUUAAAGCCGGUCUCAGUCCGGAUCGGAGUCUGCAACUCGACUCCGUGAAGUCGGAAUCGCUAGUAAUCGGAAUCAGAA
rnacentral:rRNA from 1 species